AAGGAUCAUUAAUGAAAUAAACUUGAUAAGUUGCUGCUGGUUCUCUAGGGAAUAAUGUGCACACUUGUCAUCUUUGUAUCUUCACCUGUGCACCUUUUGUAGACCUGACUAUCUCUCUGAAUGCUUUAAAUAGCACUUAGGAUUGAGAAUUGACUUCUUGUCUUUUCUUACAUUUUCAGGUCUAUGUUUCUUCAUAUGCCCCAAUGUAUGUUUAUAGAAUGUAAUUAAUGGGCCUUUGUGCCUAUAAACCUUUACAACUUUCAGCAACGGAUCUCUUGGCUCUCGCAUCGAUGAAGAACGCAGCGAAAUGCGAUAAGUAAUGUGAAUUGCAGAAUUCAGUGAAUCAUCGAAUCUUUGAACGCACCUUGCGCUCCUUGGUAUUCCGAGGAGCAUGCCUGUUUGAGUGUCAUUAAUAUUAUCAACCUUUUUGGUUGGAUUUGGGUUUGCUGGCCUCUAUGAGGUCAGCUCCCCUUAAAUGCAUUAGCAGACAACAUUUUGCCAACUGUUCAUUGGUGUGAUAAUUAUCUACGCUAUUGACACAAAGCAAAGGUUCAGCUUCUAACUGUCCAUUGACUUGGACAAUUUUAUUAAUAUGACCUCAAAUCAGGUAGGACUACCCGCUGAACUUAAGCAUAUCAAUAAGCGGAGGAAAAGAAACUAACAAGGAUUCCCCUAGUAACUGCGAGUGAAGCGGGAAAAGCUCAAAUUUAAAA
rnacentral:rRNA from 1 species